GGAGGACUGCGCUCCAGGAUGCAACCAAAGCCGGGUGCACAGCAGCCGGCAUGGCGCCAAAACUGAAGCCCUGAGCUGCUCUGCGGUGCUACCCUUUGUCCCUCCAGACUCUCUUUUCCUUCAUCUGUUUGUCAGUAAACCGAAGCCACCACAGUUUGUCAUUUGGAUGAUUUUCGAUGGAGAAGCUGCAGCUCCAGACUCUUGACAGCCGCACAACUUCCAAGGCAGUGGCCCCGCGGGCUGCAAACCCCACCUUCCUGCAGUUGCAGAGCCAGCUAAGAGGUGGGCAGCAUGCCAGGCCCCAUCAGCAGCCCCUGGAGCACACACCAAUUGCAGAUGCUCAGGAGACUCGGGGGAAGGAACGGGGUUUUCACCAGAACACCACAGGCAGGACCUCCCAGCAAAGGCCUCCAGAUGCUGUGAAAACCUAAGGCUCGUCCUCCUCCUGGCUUCCCAGGUUACCCAGCCACAACACACAGGUGAGAACCAUCUCAAGACCUCCCCACUUUUGGGCUCCCUUACCCUGACUCAUCGGUCGUCAAGGGACCAAAAGGGGUCAGUAGAGCAAGGCCCCUGCCUUCAAAGAAUGCAUGCAUUUUUUACCUUCAUAUUAAUUAUUGAAAAAACCGUACCUCAAAUCACACCCCCAACCUCUCAGCAUGAACAAGCUCCAGCAGACUUCUCCCAGCAGCCCCUCCCGCCUUUCUCUGCAUGUAGGUCGGCUUUUCAGAGCUGCCAUCAAUGUGGACAUAAAGCCCUGCUUUCCACACUCCUCCCUCCGCUUUGUAUACACUUUCCCAUGCAUCUGGGUCAGCCUGGAGCUGAGUAUUUCACAGGGCAGCAAAAUAUACAGAGGCAUAUUUUGUUUUAGAAUCUUAAUACCCAGAACAUCUGGGUAAUACUCAGACAACUGGACAGAUUCUUGCUGAUGCUGCAAGUCUCCAAAUACGGUCCCUUGCAGAGAGAAAAUGCUGUAUUUUGCAUCUGUACCUAGGCACAUGGGUUUUCUCAAGCAUAGUGGACUUUGGAGUGUGACAGUUAGUGAUUUCUCCCCGGGAAGUGGCAUGACCUGUAGGAGUUACUGUUGGCUGCAGCUGCUGGUGCAGCCCAAAUUAUUUAUUGGUUUUGAUUCGUGCACCGUUCCCUGCGUAAAUUAAAAUGUGACAUUAUUACA
rnacentral:lncRNA from 1 species